GAAAUUCGUAUAAUAACUUUAUAACAAAAGUCGUAUUUCACAAAGCAUCACGAGCUAAUUCACAUAAAUUAUAAAUGGGUCUUUUCAGAAGAGCAUAUCGAAGACUUUCAGACAGGAAACAGAAGUAAGGGAAGACCUUGACUGCAGCUAUUGAGUUUGUAGCUCUUUAAUAUAAGCCUACCUUCUGUGUAUACUCCUUGAGUACACCAGAUGGAAAGAAAUAACAUUACAUUAUUCAUCUACAACUUGAUCCGAUACACUACGUUCGUACAACAGAUCAUAUAGCCAGAUCAGGCCGAGGCUACGUAGGCCUUUGGAGAUAGAUAGUGUUCACCUCCUCCUGUUUCAGGAGGCGGAGGUGGGUGCAGUGAUGACUUAUGUUCAACAACAGUAGUGACAUGAACUUCCAGUGAGACGACAAGAGUUAGUUAAUUAAUGACCCUUUGUAUGGAGGCGGCGGUGCUGGCUUUGCCUUUGCUUCUUUUCCGUAGUUGGUCAUAUAUAGUUAUUAUUUAAAUAUUGCAAGGAUCAAGUGCAUACUCCUUAUCUUACUCACCCGUGACCCGACGACGGUUUCGAUCAUACAACUGUCGUCGCUAAAAGUAUAGACGACGGUUGUAUGACCUAACCGUCGUCGGGUCCGUCGCUAAAAGGGGUGAGCACAGAUGAGUAAGAUAAGGGGUAUGCACUUGAUUCGGACCGUAUCAUAGUCUCCAUCGUAGGUGUAAACUGAUCUUGAAUUUGUCAUCUACUCCUGCAGCAUAAUUAGAGAAUAGAAUAUAAAUUAAUAUUAGCAAGUGGAACUGCAUAUAUAUUGUCUUGUGCUAGCCAUUUCAAUUAUGAGGGAAUAAAUUAAUCAAGAAUAGAUGACUAAAAACAGAAACUAUAUUCUCAUAAACUGAAUUUGUCUAGUUAUAAACAUCUUAACGCAUUCAUGUUGUAUUUUCUAGUUCGCCUUCACAUGAAGUAAAGACGGAGAAAAAACAAAAAGAUUCUGAGAACAAAAAUGGGUAUUGAAUGUGAAAAACUACAAUAGGUCAUCAUCUGUAACCUCACAGGGCAAGAUACGAGAUCACUAGUAUAUAUAUAUAGCUACCUUGAAAACAUGCUAGUCAUGUGACUGACAAUAAAAUACUAAAUUCGUUCCUAAAAGAUUGUCAUUUAAGUUUAAGAUUUUUGCACAUGGAUUAAAAAAGUAUCAUUUAUCAAGUAAAAUUUGUUUGAAAUUUCAGGAAGUUGAAAACUAUUAAUACAAGGGAGAGAAUUUUUUGGGACAAUGAGAAAAGGUAGGAGUAAUAUAGGAAAGUAAAUAAUUUAUUCUCCUCGAAAAUUGUAAACGACAAACAUUUUGGAACAAAUUUUUUCUUCUAAAAUGACAAUCUUUUAGGAACGAAGGGAGUACAUGACAUAGUAACAAUCAUAUCCCAGGAAUAAAUAAGCAAUUAAACUCAUGCUUGGAACAAAUCUAUCUCUUCUUGGUGGGUAGAGGUUGUGUAUAUCUUUUAGCGAACAUUUGGGUCUUUUUGGUUUUCGAAUAUUUAAAUCUCUCUAAUGAGUAAUAAAUGAGUAAACUAGCUACUUAAAAAUCUUUCAACGUACGGUAGAAAAUAUUUCACUUGUAAAGAUGUCGAUGCUACCCGGCAAAUAAUUUCUUACGAGUUCCUAAGAAAACAAAGAGAGAUGAGAGAAAGAAAGCUCUCAUUGUGAGAGUCAUCAUCAUUAUUCUACACAUGUAAGGCAGGAGGAGAAGAGUGGUCUACAUGAGUGUAUUUAUAGAUAUCAAGAAGUGUUAAAUUAAGUGAAGUACGAACAACCAACCUAGUUAAUAAAACCUUUAAAAACCACACCUUCUCCGAGUGCUGUAAUAACAAUUAGCUGUGGCCCAUGAGCUACCAUUAAAAUAACAAGAAGAAAUAUUGAAAUUGAACCAUUUCACAUCGAAAAGUCAAGAAAUACACUUUCUUCCAGGAUCUAGCAAUAGUGUUCCUUCUUUUUUUUUUUGGGUAUUCAAGAGUCUUGGUACUCCAACUUUUCCUCAAAAUUUAUAAAUCCUAAUUUAAUUAACCUCGUGCACUAUCCCUUCGAUCUUCUACAUAUCUCAGUAUGAUUGAUACUCUCUCCGUCCCAUAUAAUAUAUGACGUUUUAGAGUUGUGCAUAAGAAUUAAGAAAAUGAUUAUAUACCAUUAAAUAUAGUAUUAAUUGUCUAUAAUACCUUUUACUAUAUAUUUAUCUCAUACUCUCUCUCAUCUAUAACAUUUUCCCAUGAGGAGUAAUUUUGAAAAUAUUGUGGUUAAUUCUCCUAGAUUAUAUAAAACGUCAAAUAAUUUGGGGAAAAUGAAAUAAUCUAAAACUUCAUAUAUUAUUAUAUUAAUAAUCUCACCUCGUUCCAAACACUUGUUAAUUAGGACAUCAGUUAUAUACCACUGUACUAGCUUUGUAUAUUGAGUUGGUUUGUUUUUGAAAUUUCAAGCAAGUUUUUUUUUGAAAAUAUGCAUAUUUGUAACUGAAGGUCUUUGCAUAAAAGGAAUACAUGUCGUUUACUAACAAAUAGGAGGCAUUUUCUGAAAAAGUGAGAGCAUGAGGCACGAGUGUUCAGUACACAUACGUAUGUACACCUGAACUUAGACUUCCACAGGAUCCCUUGAAACCUGCUACUGAGGGAGUAAUUUAUUGUUUAAUAUAAUCAGAAAGUAAUUAAGUGACAGCAAAGUUAUUACUAUAGAAAUUACAGUGGUUUGACCCUACCUCGUUGAUCACAUGUUGCAGUAUCCCCAUCAUAAAUGAAAAAAGUCUACAUCCUGGUGAUCUUCUAACAGUGAAUCAACCAACUUAAGAUCACAAUAGGUUGGUUUGCACUCUUUCUUAGAGGACUAUAAUCGAUUAUAAUUCCAGGCAUAUAUGGCAGUAUGAUUUUUUUAAUUGACCUACAAAAUAAGAAUAUGAUGUACAAAUAUUUUAAGUUUGAACUAUACCUUGAGUAACUCUUGAAAGAGGCUGCACAUGCAGUGAGCAACUAAUCAAUCAGCUGCUUAAGCAGAUGACCUGAGAGGCAAACAUUUGACAAGUACAUGUUCAUACAAAAGAAAACCCUCCAUAGCAUUGUUCUUAUUCAUAGUAGUAUGCCAAGCUGUUAUAUUGUUCUUUAAUAAAACCAUUUUUUUCCUGCUUAAUUUUGCAUUGGUUUAGGAGCUUAUAGUGACACUGCUAGCUAAUGACUCGACCAAAUACAUAGAUGAUUUUCUUUCUGAUUGUUAUACACAAUUAAGCUCAAGUAACACCCUGUUGUAAUUAAAUACUGCUUUCAUUGGGAAAGUUAAUUAUGCGAGUUGAUGCUUUGAUUUUUAGUCCUCUAAAAACUCCAAGGUGCAGAUGUUAAAUUCAAAUGAUUGCUCCACUUGUCCAAUGCUUCUUGAUGUCACUUUCAGAGUUUUCCCAGUAGAAAUCACAAGGAAUUUUUAACGACAGUAAUCCUCUCUGGAAGAAGAAAAUAUGCCAUGCAAUGAUGCAGAGGAUAGCCAAAAACAUUGACAUACUUUUCCAUAAAAAGGAACUGGGAACUUCAACAAGGCAUCAAUAACAGAAGCCAGAAAGGGAAUCACCAACAAAUACCUGAGCUUUAUGAAAUUGGCACCUUCUAUUUUAUGCAGAUGGUCUGUCUGCAAACAUUAAGAUAUAUAUAUACAACCCAUUAGGACCCUUCUCCUCCCGGAGAAAACCUAAUAUUACUCUAUCAUUCAAUCAACCUAGACACGCGCGGAAAGAGAUUGUUGUUUUCUGAAGAAAAGGUUAUGUAGGACAAGGCGGAAAGAAGGAAUAAAAGUACUUAUCCCGCAUAGAAUCGGUAGAAGAACACACAAAAGCACAAAACUUUAAUCUCAAAUCAAUAAGCAAAAUAAGUAUUGCUUUGCAUUGAACAAAGAAAUUAAAUCAUGUUUCAAAAGAACAAGAACCAUAUUAUCACAGAUAAUAUGGCUUACUCAGCCUUGUGUUAAUGACCAUGAUUAUUAAACCACUUUGAUUGACAUCAUGAAGCAUGAUGAUACACUAGGGCUAUGUUUGUUUGCAAAAAAAAAAAUGCUUGGGAUUGAACUAUUUGUUUUAAUUUAACACUAUUUCGGACUAUUUUAUCCCAUUAUUCAUAGUCCUAUAAAUAGUCCUAUGGACUAUUUUUUGUCAUUCCUAAGGCUAUUUAUGAGGGAUUAUAUAAUCCCAUGAUGAAUAUGGGAUUAAUAAUCCCCCACAUUUUAAGCUAUCAAAUGACUUUUAUGGAACUAAGAAUCCCACAUUAAGGGACUAAUAGUCCCUCGUCAAAGGAUUAAUAGUUCGAAGUAGUGUUAAAUUAAGACAAAUAGUCCAAUCCCAAGCAUGUUUUUUGCAAACAAACAUGGCCUAGGGGUACAGUCACAGGAUAACGAAAACUUGAUAAACAAGGUCUUGGAAUUCAUAGUUUAUUAAUACAGUAUUUUCUAAUGUUCUGAUUUGAUUUUGAACAAACAUGAUAAGGGAUUGUUUAUAGAUUAUAAAGGGUUCAACCACCAUUUGUUUUAUCAUGUGUUCGAAAGCAAACACGAAUGAUAAGGGAUUGUAUUUAGUUAAAGCAUUAGAGGUUGCCACUUCCUCGUCCUGACUAUGAAGUAAUGGAUUUGAAUUAAUAGGUGGUGUGAGGCUGCGAGCUGUAAGAAGUUGUAUGCAGCAGGACAAAUAGUUCCAGUGAUGAUUCAUAGCGAGUUUUUAAGUCUUUUACAUAUAAAGUGACUGAAAAUACAUUUUUAGCAGUUUGACUUGAUUUUAAGCAUUCAGAUCUAAUUACAUUCUUCAGACAAUCAAAUUCAUAUAAUAUAUCAGGUCGGGGUUCACUAUAAACUAAUCAUGGCUUAUCCAAUAAAAUUACAGUCCAGAUUCAACUCAAGGUAGACAUUUCUCUUAUCAUGCUUUGCUAUCAAUGUAAUCUACAUAACUUUUCAUGGUCUUUUUUUGGUUUACAGAUGUUCACAUUUGAGGCAGUUGAAAUUACCGAAGCACUUUCAAAUGUUUUUGACACAUUCUAACAAUUUCAUUAUAUCCACAGUAUUUAUAUCUUACAAUAUUAAAACAAAAUGCAAUUAUUUAUCUGUUUGUUUAUUCAGGAAGCCAACCAGUGAUUGGCUAGGGAAAUUUUGGUUCCUUACUUUAGUAAUAGAAGUUAGGUAUAUGAGAAAGACAUACAACUUUUUGUAAUUAUGAGGUGGACAGGUGGAUCAACAGUUUUAAAAUGAUAAAGUGGAAGAAAAAACAACUACUGCAUAAAAUAUAGAAAGAAAAAAUAGACAUAAAGAAACUGUUGGUAGUACCUGAUAGUAGAUAUACUACUAGGUAACCUUGGGAAUCUUAGGACAUCCACAAUAUAAAAUGAUAAACUUCUCUCAAGCCAUUUGGCCAUCUUUCUACUCAAACUAAUUCGAAUAAACAGGAAUCUGCAUUCAGUAGCUGAAGGUACCACAAAUGAAGUAAGUAUUAGGUCUGCUAAGAGCUUCUUGACUUGACAAUGAGAACACUCAUUGUCAUUUCAGACUCUAUAAUAAAAGUUCAGUAUGGAAACAGGUAAAACUAAUUACAAAUGCACACAUGUUUCAGUAGAAGAAAACACAUGUAAAACUAAUAAUCAUAUCUAGUUAUAGAUAGUAGAUGCGAUAACCCCCAGAUUACUAGGGAUAUAUUGGGGUACCCCACAGGGCAUAGAACUACAUGAUCCACUGUUUAUGGCGCUUUUGGACAUCUUUGGAUGAAAAUCGAUUCACAAUUUUGUGCAGGAAGCCACAAUAAAUAAGUACAUUUGGUUUAGACAGUGUUGAAGCUUCAGCAGAUGCACUCGUUUACAUAGAACUUGUGGUUUCAACAACCAUUUGAAGUUACAAAAGUUUUCCUUUAUUUCAGAUUGUACAUUGUUAAGCCUUGUAAUAGAAUAUUAUUCAGUUAGAAAAAUUCAUGAAACCGUGUCGAUUAAUUCUAGAAAACUGUUUUUUAAUAGUACUAAACAGUACCAUAGAGGAUGGUAAUAUUACAUGAGUAUAUACUUGUGCUCCGACAAAUAUUCAUAGCCCAAUAUGCUUCCCUAUAUGUUCUUGAGAUAACAUUUUUCAAAUAUACUUGUACAUAUUUAUAGGCAUAUAAUACCACCAAAUAUGGUAACAGAUAUAGAGGAUGUGUUUGUUGAGGUGUUCUUUUAUGGUGUCACCAGUCAAAUAUUUGAUUGCUAUUUACUCUUCAGGCAGACUGAUAUAUUUUCCCCGCUUUACCUCAAUGCUUACCAUUCUUCCAUAAAGUUAUGUAGAUCUUAUCAUCACGCACUAAAACUAUCUGCAUUGUGACAUAGCCAAUUCCAGAUGAUCCAACAGUGAGCAGCAUCUGCACAAGAAGAAUCAAUCAACCUGCACGGUGAGUUGGUUAAUUGUAAUUAACCUGAAUGCUAACAAUUUUUUUCUGCAUCAUUCCACAAAGAUAUAAUGUAAUAACUAAAAGCAAUUAAAUUUCAAUUGUUCUUUUCUUAUCACCUAUAGUUGUGUUUAACCAAGAAAGCACAACUAAAGCGUUUAUGCCCUAAAGCAAUCUGAUAUUAUAAUCCAACAAGACAAGUUACAAUAACACUAUUUAACCAAAAUUUCACUCACAUUUGAAACCCACCUAGUUAAAUGAUUUUUACAUGGACAAGAGCAUGUGGAUGUGGUAGCUCCAAGAAAACAAACCUAGGGAUUGCUUACACUGUUUUAUGGUUUAAGGUCUACGGGUUUCCUACAGAUUUAAGUCUCUAAUGUCCAUCCGUUCACAUGAAUCACAAAAACUCAUUUGGCACGCAUAAACCUUACAUUGGUUCAAAUGAAAAAAAUUGACUUUUUUAUACAUAGAGAGAGAGAGAGAGAGAGUCUAGUUUUUAAUGGAAAUAUCAACUAAAAUUUAAGCAUUCCAAGAUAAUCUAGCCCGGGACGGACAAACGAAGAUUAAAAAAAAAGAAGAUUAGUUUUCACCACACAUUUCCUUAGAAGAACCCACAAACGACAGGGAAAGCAGGAAAGGUGCAUUAAUCAUAGCAUUCAUAAAUAUAAUCAAAUUUGAAUAUAUAUAUAUAUAUAUAUAUAUAUAUAUAUACGAGACAAGAUAAUGGAAAAACGCAUACCAAAGAUUAAGAAGUCUGAUUCUGGUAGAUGCAAUUUUGUGCACGUUUCCGUGCUUACCAACUAGGCAACUAGAAGAAUGGAUAAAGUGAACUCUUCUUUCUUUCUUUCUUUCUUCAUGUAUGUCAAAUUAUAGGUCACAAUUGAUCAAAUUCAUUACUGAGACUUAAAAUUAAUUUGUCUGAUCUUGAUUCCCGUGUACGGUGUACCUAUAUCCUAUCCAUUCCCUCUGUCCUUUUAUUUCGACUUUCUUUACCCGGAUUU
rnacentral:lncRNA from 1 species